UACGGAAGGCAGCAGUGGGGAAUAUUGCACAAUGGGCGCAAGCCUGAUGCAGCCAUGCCGCGUGUAUGAAGAAGGCCUUCGGGUUGUAAAGUACUUUCAGUCGUGAGGAAGGUGUUAAGGUUAAUAACCUUAGCAAUUGACGUUAGCGACAGAAGAAGCACCGGCUAACUCCGUGCCAGCAGCCGCGGUAAUACGGAGGGUGCGAGCGUUAAUCGGAAUUUACUGGGCGUAAAGGGCACGCAGGCGGUUAAUUAAGUUGGAUGUGAAAUCCCCGGGCUUAACCUGGGAAUGGCAUUCAAGACUGGUUAGCUAGAGUCUUGUAGAGGGGGUAGAAUUCCAUGUGUAGCGGUGAAAUGCGUAGAGAUGUGGAGGAAUACCGGUGGCGAAGGCGGCCCCUGGGACAAAGACUGACGCUCAUGUGCGAAAGCGUGGGGAGCAAACAGGGAUUAGAUACC
rnacentral:rRNA from 1 species